rnacentral:rRNA from 1 species
UACGUAGGUUGCAAGCGUUGUCCGGAAUUAUUGGGCGUAAAGAGCUCGUAGGCGGCCUGUCACGUCGACUGUGAAAACCCGAGGCUCAACCUCGGGCCUGCAGUCGAUACGGGCAGGCUAGAGUUCGGUAGGGGAGACUGGAAUUCCUGGUGUAGCGGUGAAAUGCGCAGAUAUCAGGAGGAACACCGGUGGCGAAGGCGGGGCUCUGGACAGUUCCUGACACUGAGGCACGAAGGCCAGGGGAGCAAACGGG